UACGUAGGGGGCGAGCGUUGUCCGGAAUUACUGGGCGUAAAGGGCGCGCAGGCGGCCGUGUAAGUCCGCUGUGAAAGACCGGGGCUCAACCCCGGGGUGUCAGCGGGGACUGCGCGGCUGGAGUCCCGGAGAGGGAGGCGGAAUACCUGGUGGUAGCGGUGGAAUGCGUAGAGAUCAGGUGGAACACCGAUGGCGAAGGCAGCCUCCUGGACGGGUACUGACGCUGAGGCGCGAAAGCGUGGGGAGCGAACGGG
rnacentral:rRNA from 1 species